CUGUGGUUACAAUAAACAUUAUUACUCCACACAGUCUGCACUUGGGUCUUACCUUGAUUCCUGAUACUGGCUUGUUGAAAACGAUGUCUAUUUUGUCUGUUCUCUUUUUUUCAGAUAAACAGCUCGAAAAUGAACAUGUAUCAUGGCUCGAGAUUCCAUUGAGGAAGAAAUCAUCAGGAGAUAUGCUGGACCCUAUGUCAGAGAGGUGUUUCUGGGAACUCAUCGUUUCUUUCAAGACAAUGACCCAAAACACACUGCCUCCUGGGUUUGCAUUGCAAAUGAGGGCAUAAACUGGGUCAAGACGCCAGCAAAGUAAGAAGACAUUUAUGUAGUGAAAUAAAUAUAAAUACAUAAAUAAAUAAAUAAUAGACCUACAACACCUUCGGUAGACCUACAGUACACUAGUGAAAAACAAGUCUUCAAAAUGCCUCCAGCUGUCCAUCACUACUGUAAAUAAAAACACAGCAUCUUGUUUACAUUCUUUAUUGUAACCACAAUGUCACAAAUCAUUUGUAUCUACCUUUCCAAUUACUUUUAGAGUUUGGGAUUUACAAAUGUGCACUUUAUGUCAUUUUUAGUAAGUAAUAUGCUUACAGUCCAGUUACAGCUUGUUCUGAUCAAGUAGAAACAAAAAAAGAAGUGUUUUUUUUGGGGUGUGCGUGCAGGACAGAGGAAUAGCAAUUCUUACACUAUUGUUCAGGAGGAACGGAAAAUUGUAUGUCAAUUCAUAAACCAUGUGCCAUCAAAAAUCUCUUCCCCACUAUUUUGCAAUCUAUAUGGCUCUCCUCCAAUAAUUACAUUUAGAGGAUUGGAGGAUU